CGGCGCACGGGUGAGUAACACGUAUCCAACCUGCCGUCUACUCUUGGACAGCCUUCUGAAAGGAAGAUUAAUACAAGAUGGCAUCAUGAGUCCGCAUGUUCACAUGAUUAAAGGUAUUCCGGUAGACGAUGGGGAUGCGUUCCAUUAGAUAGUAGGCGGGGUAACGGCCCACCUAGUCUUCGAUGGAUAGGGGUUCUGAGAGGAAGGUCCCCCACAUUGGAACUGAGACACGGUCCAAACUCCUACGGGAGGCAGCAGUGAGGAAUAUUGGUCAAUGGGCGAGAGCCUGAACCAGCCAAGUAGCGUGAAGGAUGACUGCCCUAUGGGUUGUAAACUUCUUUUAUAAAGGAAUAAAGUCGGGUAUGGAUACCCGUUUGCAUGUACUUUAUGAAUAAGGAUCGGCUAACUCCGUGCCAGCAGCCGCGGUAAUACGGAGGAUCCGAGCGUUAUCCGGAUUUAUUGGGUUUAAAGGGAGCGUAGAUGGAUGUUUAAGUCAGUUGUGAAAGUUUGCGGCUCAACCGUAAAAUUGCAGUUGAUACUGGAUAUCUUGAGUGCAGUUGAGGCAGGCGGAAUUCGUGGUGUAGCGGUGAAAUGCUUAGAUAUCACGAAGAACUCCGAUUGCGAAGGCAGCCUGCUAAGCUGCAACUGACAUUGAGGCUCGAAAGUGUGGGUAUCAAACAGGAUUAGAUACCCUGGUAGUCCACACGGUAAACGAUGAAUACUCGCUGUUUGCGAUAUACUGCAAGCGGCCAAGCGAAAGCGUUAAGUAUUCCACCUGGGGAGUACGCCGGCAACGGUGAAACUCAAAGGAAUUGACGGGGGCCCGCACAAGCGGAGGAACAUGUGGUUUAAUUCGAUGAUACGCGAGGAACCUUACCCGGGCUUAAAUUGCAGAUGAAUUACGGUGAAAGCCGUAAGCCGCAAGGCAUCUGUGAAGGUGCUGCAUGGUUGUCGUCAGCUCGUGCCGUGAGGUGUCGGCUUAAGUGCCAUAACGAGCGCAACCCUUGUUGUCAGUUACUAACAGGUUCCGCUGAGGACUCUGACAAGACUGCCAUCGUAAGAUGUGAGGAAGGUGGGGAUGACGUCAAAUCAGCACGGCCCUUACGUCCGGGGCUACACACGUGUUACAAUGGGGGGUACAGAGGGCCGCUACCACGCGAGUGGAUGCCAAUCCCCAAAACCUCUCUCAGUUCGGACUGGAGUCUGCAACCUGACUCCACGAAGCUGGAUUCGCUAGUAAUCGCGCAUC
rnacentral:rRNA from 1 species